AUGCGACUUGCUCCGUUAGGCAGCCCUGAGCUGCGAAGGGGUUCCCGGGCGCCGGAGGAGACUCCCGCUCCCUUGGGCCGCGCGUUUGCGCGAUCCGCGGCCGCCGCCGGCCGUGCAGGAAAACCGAGAUCUCCCUGGCGCUCCUUCCCCGCACCGGUUACUGGAAAGCAGGGGAGGCGGGGCCUGGUCGGCUGAGGGUGCGGCCGAACCCGGGAGUGUUAACUUUGGCUCAGGGCGGCUUUGGUUUUCACCCUGGAUUCGAGGAGCGAGGAGGAGGAAAGAAAGGAGAGUUUCUUGUAUGAGGGAUGCAGAGGCCAAAAAGCGGACCCUCUCUCUCUUGAAAAGCAAAUCAUUUUGCCAACGCCAGGAAAAAAUUUUCGGGUGUUAGCGGGCGAAAGACUUUUUUUCCCCUUCCAAUGGUAUCACUUGCGUUUUGUCUCCUUGGACUGGAAGAGGGGAUUUGUGAAGGUGACUGGAUCUCCAGACUCUUCCCUUCCCCUCUCCUGCAGUGUACUCAAGAGAAAAGGAACAUCAGAAUCGAGGAACUUACUCAGAUCCCUGAUCAUUCACCUGAGGAUUUUUCUGUCGACAGUGGGAAAGCAUGAUGGAGUCAUCAUAUGACAGGAUUUUAGUAGACAUUUUUUUUCCUGCUUAGCAGUCUUUCCCUAAUCUGAUCAUUUCCUUUGGAGAACUAUCCUUUCUUCACUCUCAGACCAUAUGGCUGGGGCAGGACUCCAGAGGAAAACAUAUUUGAGUUAAUCCUCUGCCUUAGGUUAGACUUACUAAGAAGGGUGAUCUCUCUUUUCCAAUGGAUUUAAGUCUGGAAAAAUGGAAGCCUGAAGCCAUCUUCCCACUCACAGAUUCUGAGAAAGAAGGCAACGUGGAAGAAAGCAGAUUCAAAAAUGGAGAUUUGGCCUGGAGACAUGUUUGAUGCCCUGAAUCCAUUGUGGACUAGAUAAUUCUGGAAAUUUCAGCUAAGUUACUCAAUAAAUUCUUUCACGUAUUUAUUGCUUAAA